CCCGCGCAUGCUCUAUGGGGUAGAGACGCUAGGCCGGCACUGCCUAGGUGGGCCGGGCGGUGCGAGGGUCGCCUUUCAGCCUUUACCUCUACCCACUGAAAUGGAGUAGGUCGGUGAGCGCCGAUCUGCUGGAGAAUCUCAUUAUCCCAUCGGCGCUCUGCCUGCUCCUGGCCUCCAAGCCUCUGAAGCCCCUCGGGUUUCAGCUGCCGGCUACCCUCGAGCCCGUGGUGCCCACGAGAGAGGCGACUUUACGUCAGCGGCCCUGGGCUGAGAUUUGAGAACGCGACCAAGUGGAGAAUGUUGGAGCCAGAUUUUAAAAUCCUUGUCUUCCUUCUGCGUGCUACUUGAUCUAAAUGAGAUACGGCAAAGUCACAGAACCUGUUUUUAUGUUUUUGCCUGAUUCAUACGGGCUUCUCCGGUGAAGAUGGGCCUGAAGUAACGCUUGGGUUGCUUCUGACGUUAUAACUCAUCCUGUAGCUGCAGCAACCGUGGUCCUUGCAACCUCAUAAAAAUGUUGCCAGCAUUGUUUCGAUAGUGCUGCUUAAUUCUUGGAAGGCCUCUUUGCUUUCUUCCCUGAGGUUCUUCGGACUUCACACAUUCCAGCAGUAGCUCUCUCAGCUCCUGUCCUGCACAGCUUUGAAGUGCUGAAACAGAGAAGAGUAUGAGAAGUGUUACAGAACAUGAAGAUACCCUUGUGGCUCAAACAUACUUAUUUUUAAAAACUCUAAAAGUCUAAAUGUGUCUGUAUCUGGAUAUAUUUUCAGUCAACUUAUGCUGUGUUGGGUAAAGGUAAACCAGCAUUUUCUAAUCUAUAUUUGUGCCACUAUCACCAGCAUUACACGAUAAGAUUUGUUAUAGGUUCAGUUCUUCUAGUUGAAUCCAAUCAUGCACAGUUAAUGUAGCCCAUUUCUGUUCUCCAUAAUAAUUUAUCUUAGUUUUGGGCAACUCUUUAUAGUCAGGAUAACUCUGCAGAGUGGAUGAAAUUCUAAUGAGUGGAAUUUGUUUUCUAGUGCUUUACUGAUAAGGUUAACCAGAUGGUGAAAUGUAAUAGCUUGGAAGAUGUAGUUUUGAUAUACAGUACAUCAUUUCUGGAAUGAUCAUGAAAAAGCAAAAUCAACAGAGCUUUUUAGAUUCUCUUUUUUGGUCAUGAAAUUGAAAAUAUACCUUUUUAGAGAGAAAUAUCUCAUCAUAGUUCUCCUGACAUUUAAACUGCUUGGCUAUAUAUUUUUAAAAGAAGACAAACUUUUGAAAAUGUUGCUAUAAAUUUUUAUGUAUUGUAGAUUUAAAAAAUCUCAUUUAAAAAAUGAAAGAUUAUGAAAUUUUUUAUGUCACCUGAAGGAAUGUCUAUGAUGUGAAUUUCAAAUAAAAUAGAUUUUCUUCAAUAUUUUUAGUAAUGAUAUCAAUUAAUUCACUAAGAAACUCACAUUUCUUCCAAGACAUUGAAUUUUGAUGAAACCACAAAUCAGUGAUUAUCAAAAUAUUAGAAUUAAGCAACCCUGAACAUUAUUUUGCUAUAACAUUUGCUAAUUUGGCACAGAUAUUCUUUGAAGAUGGACAAUAUACAUUUUUUCAUCUGUUUUGAUUUUUGCUGAUAUGGAUUAUGUUAAUUAUGGAAAUCUACAAGUAUCUCACAAAUAAAUUAUGUGGAUGCAUUUAACUAUAGAUUUUUCUUUUGUGAUUUUUCUAUGAGAUAGCACAUUACUGCAUAAUUGCUGUACUUUUUUGGUGCUUUUUCCUUUUUCCUUUCAAUAUUAAUCAUCGCUGCUUGUUCUCAUAUAAAGGUACAUUCUGAUUUAAGUUCUCCCUGGUGUUUGGCUAAUUGGGCUAUUCGCUUAAAGCAUACUCUGUUUUAUGUCUUUAUCUUCCAUGGUAUUUUACAUUUUGGAAUGACUGAUUCUAAUUCCUCUUCCACAGUGGCAUAAGUUCACAGUAGCAUAACCUUGGGAAUCCAUUAUAUUUGUCCUUUAGAACACUGCUUUGUUUUUCUCCACACAGUAAUGAAAAGCGGUGGCAUUUUCCAACACCCACAAUGACUCUUCUCCUUUUUUUAGUAAUGCUACUUUUUCUUUGCUUAGUUCAAAUCAACACAAAGUCUUAUUUCUUGAGCAUCUAUUACGUGGCAAAUUUUGUGUUAGGU
rnacentral:lncRNA from 1 species